AGUGAACGCUGGCGGCGUGCUUAACACAUGCAAGUCGAACGAGAACGGGAUAUAGCUUGCUAUAUUUGUCAGCUAAGUGGCGCACGGGUGAGUAAUGUAUAGAUAACCUGCCCUUAAGAAAGGAAUAACAGUUGGAAACGACUGCUAAUGCCCUAUAUGCCUUUAAUACAUAAGUAUGCAAGGGAAACGCUUUAGUGCUUAAGGAUGGGUCUGUAUGGUAUCAGCUUGUUGGUGAGGUAAUGGCUCACCAAGGCUAUGACGCCUAACUGUUUUGAGAGGAUGAUCAGUCACACUGGAACUGAGACACGGUCCAGACUCCUACGGGAGGCAGCAGUGGGGAAUAUUGCACAAUGGACGAAAGUCUGAUGCAGCAACGCCGCGUGGAGGAUGACACAUUUCGGUGCGUAAACUCCUUUUAUAUAGGAAGAUAAUGACGGUACUAUAUGAAUAAGCACCGGCUAACUCCGUGCCAGCCGCCGCCGUAAAAC
rnacentral:rRNA from 1 species